AAAGUACUCACUUCGAUCCAUAUUACUUGUCAUUGAAAUGGAUGGAUCUAGACGUAUUUUACUGCUAGAUACAUCCGUCUGAGGGACAAGUAAUAUGGAUCGGAGGGAGUAGCAA
rnacentral:pre_miRNA from 1 species